CUGAGUACGGCGGAACACGUGAAAUUCCGUCGGAAUCCGGGAGGACCAUCUCCCAAGGCUAAAUACUCCCUAGUGACCGAUAGUGAACCAGUACCGUGAGGGAAAGGUGAAAAGCACCCCGGAAGGGGAGUGAAACAGUUCCUGAAACCGUGUGCCUACAAGUAGUUAGAGCCCGUUAAUGGGUGAUAGCGUGCCUUUUGUAGAAUGAACCGGCGAGUUACGAUUUGUUGCAAGGUUAAGCGGAAAAAGCGGAGCCGUAGCGAAAGCGAGUCUGAAUAGGGCGCAUAAGUAACAGGUCGUAGACCCGAAACCAGGUGAUCUACCCAUGUCCAGGAUGAAGGUAAGGUAAUACUUACUGGAGGUCCGAACCCACGCACGUUGAAAAGUGCGGGGAUGAGGUGUGGGUAGCGGAGAAAUUCCAAUCGAACUUGGAGAUAGCUGGUUCUCUCCGAAAUAGCUUUAGGGCUAGCCUCGAGGUAAAGAGUCAUGGAGGUAGAGCACUGUUUGGACUAGGGGCCCUUCUCGGGUUACCGAAUUCAGAUAAACUCCGAAUGCCAUGUACUUAUACUCGGGAGUCAGACUGCGAGUGAUAAGAUCCGUAGUCGAAAGGGAAACAGCCCAGACCACCAGUUAAGGUCCCCAAAUAUAUGUUAAGUGGAAAAGGAUGUGGGGUUGCUUAGACAACCAGGAUGUUGGCUUAGAAGCAGCCACCAUUGAAAGAGUGCGUAAUAGCUCACUGGUCGAGUGACCCCGCGCCGAAAAUGUACCGGGGCUAAACAUAUUACCGAAACUGUGGAUGAACCUCUUCGGAGGUUCGUGGUAGGAGAGCGUUCUAAGGGCGGUGAAGUCAGACCGGAAGGACUGGUGGAGCGCUUAGAAGUGAGAAUGCCGGUAUGAGUAGCGAAAGAAGGGUGAGAAUCCCUUCCACCGAAUAUCUAAGGUUUCCUGAGGAAGGCUCGUCCGCUCAGGGUUAGUCGGGACCUAAGCCGAGGCCGAUAGGCGUAGGCGAUGGACAACAGGUAGAGAUUCCUGUACCAGUGCUAAUUGUUUAACCGAUGGGGUGACACAGAAGGAUAGGGAAUCGCACGAAUGGAAAUGUGCGUCCAAGCAGUGAGUGUGAGAAGUAGGCAAAUCCGCUUCUCGCGAAGCAUGAGCUGUGAUGGGGAAGGAAAUUAAGUACGGAAGUUCCUGAUUUCACGCUGUCAAGAAAAGCCUCUAGGAAGAGUAGUACUGCCCGUACCGCAAACCGACACAGGUAGAUGAGGAGAGAAUCCUAAGGUGAGCGAGAGAACUCUCGUUAAGGAACUCGGCAAAAUGACCCCGUAACUUCGGGAGAAGGGGUGCUCUAUUAGGGUGCAAGCCCGAGAGAGCCGCAGUGAAUAGGCCCAGGCGACUGUUUAGCAAAAACACAGGUCUCUGCAAAACCGUAAGGUGACGUAUAGGGGCUGACGCCUGCCCGGUGCUGGAAGGUUAAGAGGAGUGCUUAGCUUCGGCGAAGGUACGAAUUGAAGCCCCAGUAAACGGCGGCCGUAACUAUAACGGUCCUAAGGUAGCGAAAUUCCUUGUCGGGUAAGUUCCGACCCGCACGAAAGGCGCAACGAUCUGGGCACUGUCUCAACGAGAGACUCGGUGAAAUUAUAGUACCUGUGAAGAUGCAGGUUACCCGCGACAGGACGGAAAGACCCCGUGGAGCUUUACUGCAACCUGAUAUGGAAUGUUUGUACCGCUUGUACAGGAUAGGUAGGAGCCGAAGAGACGUGUGCGCUAGCAUACGAGGAGGCAAUGGUGGGAUACUACCCUGGCUGUAUGACCAUUCUAACCCGCCACGCUUAGCGCGUGGGGAGACAGUGUCAGGUGGGCAGUUUGACUGGGGCGGUCGCCUCCUAAAGAGUAACGGAGGCGCCCAAAGGUUCCCUCAGAAUGGAUGGAAAUCAUUCGCAGAGUGUAAAGGCACAAGGGAGCUUGACUGCGAGACUGACAAGUCGAGCAGGGACGAAAGUCGGGCUUAGUGAUCCGGUGGUUCCGCAUGGAAGGGCCAUCGCUCAACGGAUAAAAGCUACCCCGGGGAUAACAGGCUUAUCUCCCCCAAGAGUCCACAUCGACGGGGAGGUUUGGCACCUCGAUGUCGGCUCGUCGCAUCCUGGGGCUGUAGUCGGUCCCAAGGGUUGGGCUGUUCGCCCAUUAAAGCGGCACGCGAGCUGGGUUCAGAACGUCGUGAGACAGUUCGGUCCCUAUCCGUCGCGGGCGCAGGAAAUUUGAGAGGAGCUGUCCUUAGUACGAGAGGACCGGGAUGGACACACCGCUGGUGUACCAGUUGUUCCGCCAGGAGCAUCGCUGGGUAGCUAUGUGUGGCAGGGAUAAACGCUGAAAGCAUCUAAGCGUGAAGCCCCCCUCAAGAUGAGAUUUCCCAUUUCUUCGGAAAGUAAGAUCCCUGAAAGAUGAUCAGGUAGAUAGGUUUGGAGUGGAAGUGUAGCGAUACAUGGAGCGGACAAAUACUAAUCGAUCGAGGACUUAACCAA
rnacentral:rRNA from 1 species